rnacentral:rRNA from 1 species
UUGACCUCAAAUCAGGUAGGAGUACCCGCUGAACUUAAGCAUAUCAAUAAGCGGAGGAA